rnacentral:rRNA from 1 species
UACGUAGGGUGCAAGCGUUAAUCGGAAUUACUGGGCGUAAAGCGUGCGCAGGCGGUUUUGUAAGACAGUGGUGAAAUCCCCGGGCUCAACCUGGGAACUGCCAUUGUGACUGCAAGGCUAGAGUGCGGCAGAGGGGGAUGGAAUUCCGCGUGUAGCAGUGAAAUGCGUAGAUAUGCGGAGGAACACCGAUGGCGAAGGCAAUCCCCUGGGCCUGCACUGACGCUCAUGCACGAAAGCGUGGGGAGCAAACAGGAUUAGAUACCCUGGUAGUCAAGGGCG